rnacentral:misc_RNA from 1 species
GGGAUCUACAAUCUAAGCUACUUGCAUAGAUUUUUAUGGCUGUGUGGAAUGACAAUAGGAUUUUAGAAAACUAUAUUACAGAAAGAAAAGGAAAACAAAACAAAAUAACCAGUACCUAUGCCAUGUUGGCACACAUCUCAAAACAAUACUAAAAUUGUUCCUGGUCUAAUUGCAGAUAAGUUCUUCACCCACUUAAUGCGAUUUGUUACAUAGAACAUGAAUCAUUCUAUUUCCCAUGUCUAUCUAAUAGAAAAUUACAGGGAAGCACAAAUUAAAUGAAUAAGAGGGACAAAAACUCUAAACAAAAUAAUUGAAUAGUUUUACACCUGAUUUUCCAAAAACUGAGUAAUUUAGUCAACAAUGAGAUAGGACAGAGUAUAAAACAAAGCUAACCAAAAAUUCCAAAUGCUGUCUUCACUUCCCAACUGUAGGGCAACGAAAAUUCGAAAUAAAUUUGAACUCAAUAGCUAAGCCUACCCAGAAACCCCUCUUCUUAUCAUUGCUCCGUACAAGUUAUACUAAAUAAAAUCGUAACAGCAACAACGAUCAAUUUAAAAAACCAACCCAAGAAACCAAAUUACAGAGAGAAAAUUAAUGAUAAGUUCUAAGCACAACGCGGUCACCAGAGUGUCAAAAAUCACAACAAUAAAGCAAAACAGUACCAUUCAAACAUAAUACAGAAAAAUAAAAUCC